UACGUAGGUGGCGAGCGUUACCCGGAUUGAUUGGGCGUAAAGGGUCCGCAGGCGGUUUGAAAAGUCAAUGGUCAAAUCUUGAGGCUUAACCUCAAGACUGCUAUUGAUACUUUCAAACUAGAGACUGGGAGAGGCAAACGGAAUUGCCGGUGUAGUAGUAAAAUGCGUUGAUAUCGGUAGGAACACCAAAAGCGAAGGCAGUUUGCUGGAACAGUUCUGACGCUCAGGGACGAAAGCGUGGGUAGCGAAUGGG
rnacentral:rRNA from 1 species